CCUACGGGUGGCAGCAGUGAGGAAUAUUGGUCAAUGGACGCAAGUCUGAACCAGCGAUGCCGCGUGCAGGAAUACGGCUCUAUGAGUUGUAAACUGCUGUUGUAUGAGGGCAAAUGCAGAUACUCGUAUCUCUCUGAAAGUAUCGUACGAAUAAUGAUCGGCUAACUCCGUUACUGCAGCCGCGGUAAUACGGAGGAGUCAAGCGUUGUCCGGAUUUAUGGGGUUUAAAGGGGGCGUAGGCGGUCGGAUAAGUUAGAGGUGAAAUCCCGGGGCUCAACUUCGGAAUUGCCUCUGAUACUGUUCGGCUAGAGAGUAGUUGCGGUAGGCGGAAUGUAUGGUGUAGCGGUGAAAUGCUUAGAGAUCAUACAGAACACCGAUUGCGAAGGCAGCUUACCAAGCUACUACUGACGUUGAGGCACGAAAGCGUGGGGAGCAAACAGGAUUAGAUACCCCAGUAGUC
rnacentral:rRNA from 1 species